rnacentral:rRNA from 1 species
UGGCGGACGGGUGAGUAAUGUCUGGGAAACUGCCCGAUAGAGGGGGAUAACUACUGGAAACGGUAGCUAAUACCGCAUAACGUCGCAAGACCAAAGAGGGGGACCUUCGGGCCUCUUGCCAUCGGAUGUGCCCAGAUGGGAUUAGCUAGUAGGUGGGGUAACGGCUCACCUAGGCGACGAUCCCUAGCUGGUCUGAGAGGAUGACCAGCCACACUGGAACUGAGACACGGUCCAG